GUGAGAAGUGAGAAUAUACAUAUACAACUUGAAAGAGUUUGCUGUUCUCGGGUCCGUGGUUGAGAAUCAAGUGUGUGUGUGUGUGUGUGUGCACGCGUGUGUGUGUUUUUUUUUUUUCUCCUAAGCAUCCUCAUUUCUCGCCUAACCUGAAUUUGGCUACGUUGACUUUGUGCCUCUUUGUGGUUACAACCUUUUUGCCCUCUUUUUCAUGAAAAGAUAGUCUGCACUCCUUGUCCCCACUUCCUCAUUUUCCAUUUACC
rnacentral:lncRNA from 1 species